AUACGUAUGUCGCAAGCGUUAUCCGGAUUUAUUGGGCGUAAAGCGCGUCUAGGCGGCUUAGUAAGUCUGAUGUGAAAAUGCGGGGCUCAACGCCGUAUUGCGUUGGAAACUGCUAAACUCGAGUACUGGAGAGGUAGGCGGAACUACAAGUGUAGAGGUGAAAUUCGUAGAUAUUUGUAGGAAUGCCGAUGGGGAAGCCAGCCUACUGGACAGAUACUGACGCUAAAGCGCGAAAGCGUGGGUAGCAAACAGGAUUAGAUACCCUGGUAGUCCACGCCGUAAACGAUGAUUACUAGGUGUUGGGGGUCGAACCUCAGCGCCCAAGCUAACGCGAUAAGUAAUCCGCCUGGGGAGUACGUACGCAAGUAUGAAACUCAAAUGAAUUGACGGGG
rnacentral:rRNA from 1 species